rnacentral:rRNA from 1 species
GACGAACGCUGGCGGCGUGCUUAACACAUGCAAGUCGAACGGAAAGGCCCUGCUUUUGUGGGUUGCUCGAGUGGCGAACGGGUGAGUAACACGUGAGUAACCUGCCCUUGACUUUGGGAUAACUUCAGGAAACUGGGGCUAAUACCGGAUAGGAGCUCCUGCUGCAUGGUGUGGGUUGGAAAGUUUCGGCGGUUGGGGAUGGACUCGCGGCUUCUCCGCUUGUUGGUGGGGUAGUUGCUUACCAAGGCUUUGAAGGGUAGCCGGCCUGAGAGGGUGACCGGCCACAUUGGGACUGAGAGACGGCCCAGACUCCUACGGGAGGCAGCAGUGGGGAAUAUUGCACAAUGGGCGGAAGCCUGAUGCAGCAACGCCGCGUGCGGGAUGACGGCCUUCGGGUUGUAAACCGCUUUCGCCUGUGACGAAGAGUGAGUGACGGUAAUGGGUAAAGAAGCACCGGCUAACUACGUG